AGGGCGCCUGAGUCGGCAGUGGCAGACGCGAAACCAAGUGAUCUACCCUUGACCAGGUUGAAGGCUGGGUAACACCAGCUGGAGGACCGAACCAAUAAGCGUUGAAAAGCUUCUGGAUGAGUUGAGGGUAGGGGUGAAAGGCUAAUCAAACUUGGAGAUAGCUCGUACUCCCCGAAAUGCAUUUAGGUGCAGCCUUGCGGGUUACUGAUGUGAGGUAGAGCGACUGAUAAGAUGCGAGGGCUUCACCGCCUAUCAAGUCUUGACAAACUCCGAAUGCGCAUCAGUUUUACCGCAGGAGUGAGGGCAUGGGUGCUAAGGUCCGUGCCCGAGAGGAGAAGAAUCCGGACCACCUGCUAAGGUCCCGAAAUGACAGCUAAGUUAAACUAACGAAGUCGGACUGCCAUGACAGCUAGGAUGUUGGCUUGGAAGCAGCCAUUCAUUUAAAGAGUGCGUAACAGCUCACUAGUCGAGGAGUCCGGCGUGGAUAAUAAUCGGGUAUUAAGUUGUCUACCGAAGCAGUGGGAUCAUGUAAAUGAUCGGUAGGGGAGCAUUCCACCCGGCGUCGAAGGCGUACCGUGAGGUAUUCUGGAGCGUGUGGAAAAGCAAAUGUAGGUAUAAGUAACGAUAAAGCAGGUGAGAAACCUGCUCGCCGCAAGACCAAGGUUUCCUGAUCAACGCUAAUCGGAUCAGGGUCAGUCGGGUCCUAAGGCUCAGCCGAACGGCGAGGCCGAUGGCAGAAACGGUUAAUAUUCCGUUACUACCUUUACGGGCGAUGUGGAGACGCAGAAGUGACAGUGCCGCCAUCUGACGGAAUAGAUGGUUGAAGGGUGUAGAAGCUGAUCGUGGCAGGCAAAUCCACCACGUGAUUCGAACCUGAGAGUAUGCCGCGUCCUCCGGGACAAGGCAAUAGUGCACGUAAGCAUACUGCCGAGAAAAUCCGCUAAGCUAUACCGUAAAGGUACCCGUACCGUAAACGGACACACGUGGUCGGGAUGAAUAUUCUAAGGCGCUUGAGUGAUUCACGGUUAAGGAACUAGGCAAACUGACCCUGUAACUUCGGGAUAAAGGGUCCCUCCUCGCAAGAGAGGGCGCAGAGAAUAGGUCCAGGCAACUGUUUAACAAAAACACAGGGCUGUGCGAAAUCGAAAGAUCCGGUAUACAGCCUGACACCUGCCCGGUGCUGGAAGGUUAAGAGGAGACGUCAUCGCAAGAGAAGCGUUGAAUUGAAGCCCCAGUAAACGGCGGCCGUAACUAUAACGGUCCUAAGGUAGCGAAAUUCCUUGUCGGGUAAGUUCCGACCUGCACGAAUGGUGUAAUGAUCUGGACGCUGUCUCAACCGUGAGCUCAGUGAAAUUGUAGUAUCGGUGAAGAUGCCGAUUACCCGCGAUGGGACGAAAAGACCCCGUGAACCUUUACUAUAGCUUAUCAUUGAAUUUGGGCACGUGAUGUGUAGGAUAGGUCGGAGGCUUUGAAGCAGGUACGCCAGUAUUUGUGGAGCCGCUGUUGAAAUACGACCCUUCAUUUGUUUGAGUUCUAACUCGUGAUGCGAGGACACUGAUUGGUGGGUAGUUUGACUGGGGUGGUCGCCUCCAAAAGUGUAACGGAGGCUUCUAAAGGUGCCCUCACGGCGAUUGGUAACCGCCGGGAGAGUGUAAUGGCAUAAGGGCGCUUGACUGGGAGACUCACAAGUCGAGCAGGUAGGAAACUAGAGCAUAGUGAUCCGGUGUUUCCGUAUGGAAGGGACAUCGCUCAAAGGAUAAAAGGUACUCCGGGGAUAACAGGCUGAUCCCUCCCAAGAGCUCAUAUCGACGGAGUGGUUUGGCACCUCGAUGUCGGCUCGUCACAUCCUGGGGCUGGAGAAGGUCCCAAGGGUUGGGCUGUUCGCCCAUUAAAGUGGCACGCGAGCUGGGUUCAGAACGUCGUGAGACAGUUCGGUCUCUAUCUAUCGUGGGCGUAUGAAAUUUGCGUGGCUCUGACACUAGUACGAGAGGACCGUGUUGGACUGACCUCUGGUUUACCGGUUGUGCCGCCAGGUGCAUCGCCGGGUAUCCAAGUCGGGAUCGGAUAAGUGCUGAAAGCAUCUAAGUACGAAGCCGGCCACAAGAUUAGAUUUCUCAGGGUCGUUGCAGACGACGACGUUGAUAGGAUGCAGGUGUAAAGAUGGAGACAUCAAAGCCGAGCAUUACUAAUUGCCCGUCCACUUUCUUUA
rnacentral:rRNA from 2 species